rnacentral:lncRNA from 1 species
ACAUAUGACAGAUGAUGGGGUUUGACGAGUUGUCCAUGACCUCCGUCUUGUAGGGAUCCACGAUAGUAGGACUGUAUCACACGAUAACUGCACCUAGAGGUUCACCAUUCUAUUCUGCUGGGUAGCCACUACAUGCUGCUAGGUGUCACUGGUGGAUGGUGGGACUCAUAGGGAUUGUCUCGAUGAUCGAUAAACUCUAAUGAGUUGAGUUGGAAUCGUUCCAACCUAUUGAAAGGAGUUUUCAAUGAUAUUGUGAUAGAGAUCGCAAUAUAUCUCACUACCAGUCAGAAUAGAACCU